rnacentral:rRNA from 1 species
GACGUCAAGCUUCCAAGGAAAGCCCUAUACCCGUUAAGGCAUGAUUACCUGUACCCGAAACCGACACAGGUGGGGUGGUAGAGAAUACCGAGGGGCGCGAGGUAACUCUCUCUAAGGAACUCGGCAAAAUGACCCCGUAACUUCGGGAGAAGGGGUGCCAGCGCGAGCUGGUCGCAGUGAAUAGGCCCAGGCGACUGUUUACCAAAAACACAGGUCUCCGCUAAGUCGCAAGACGAUGUAUGGGGGCUGACGCCUGCCCAGUGCCGGAAGGUUAAAGAAGUUGGUCAGCGCAAGCGAAGCUAACGACUGAAGCCCCGGUGAACGGCGGCCGUAACGAUAACGGUCCUAAGGUAGCGAAAUUCCUUGUCGGGUAAGUUCCGACCCGCACGAAAGGCGUAACGAUCUGGGCGCUGUCUCGGAGAGAGGCUCGGCGAAAUAGAAUUGUCUGUGAAGAUGCGGACUACGUGCACCCGGACAGAAAGACCCUAUGAAGCUUUACUGUAGCUUGGUAUUGUGCUCGGGCUCGCAAUGCGCAGGAUAGGUGGGAGGCUUUGAUCCAUUGCUUGUGGGUGAUGGUGAGCCAUUGGUGAGAUACCACUCUUUGCGAGCUAGGGUUCUAACGGUUACCCGUCAUCCGGGAACCGGACAGUAUCUGGUGGGCAGUUUGACUGGGGCGGUCGCCUCCUAAAAGGUUACGGAGGCGCGCAAAGGUUUGCUCAGGCUGGUUGGAAAUCAGCCGACGAGUGUAAAAGCAGAAGCAAGCUUGACUGUGAGACCUACAAGUCGAACAGGGAGGAAACUCGGCUUUAGUGAUCCGACGGUUCUGAGUGGAAGGGCCGUCGCUCAACGGAUAAAAGUUACUCUAAGGAUAACAGGCUGAUCUCCCCCAAGAGUUCACAUCGACGGGGAGGUUUGGCACCUCGAUGUCGGCUCAUCGCAACCUGGGGCUGAAGUCGGUCCCAAGGGUUGGGCUGUUCGCCCAUUAAAGCGGUACGCGAGCUGGGUUCAGAACGUCGUGAGACAGUUCGGUCCAUAUCCGGUGCAUGCGCAGGAAUAUUGAGAGGAUUUCUCCCUAGUACGAGAGGACCGGGAGGAACGCACCUCUGGUGUACCAGUUAUCGUGCCAACGGUAAACGCUGGGUAGCCAUGUGCGGAGUGGAUAACCGCUGAAAGCAUCUAAGUGGGAAGCCCACCUCAAGAUGAGUAUUCCCAUGGCUUAAGCCAGUAAGGUCACGGGAAGAACACCCGUUGAUAGGCUCUAUGUGGAAGCGCAGUAAUGCGUGAAGCAGAGGAGUACUAAUAGACC